rnacentral:tmRNA from 1 species
GGGGGUGCAAUGGUUUCGACGGGGAUUCUGACACAUGAUAAGCGUGGCGAGCCGGGUAAACUCGAUAACUGCCCAACCUUAAAAAUAAACGACAACAAAACUGUUGCUCUGGCUGCCUAAUGGCAGUGCCGUGACCUGAGGGUCACCCGUUCCGCCGAAGAGGACCACGGCUUUGGUGUGAGCGUCAAAUGAGUGGUGAACCUGCACCGGUGUUUCGCCCUUGAACCGGUCAGGCAAAAAAGGGCUACCUGCGAGAGGAGCGUGUCUGUUCGCGCCAUUCAAAGGGAAAUUCAAAUAACAGACUGCCCACGAAGAAAGUCAUGCCGAGGGGUUUUCGGACAUGGGUUCGAUUCCCAUCAUCUCCACCA